rnacentral:pre_miRNA from 1 species
UAGCUUUGUUCUAAGUCGAUCUUCAUCAAGUUUGACCAAAGUUAUAGAAUAAUACAUCAACACUCACAACAGUAAAUCACCAAGUAAGUAUAUUGUAAAAAACAUAUUUCAUAAUGGAUUGAAUUACACUAAUUUGGUGUUGUGGAUGUUAGUACACUUGUCCAUAAACUUGGUCAAACAUGAAGAAGAUUGACUUAGCACAAACCAAG